rnacentral:rRNA from 1 species
AUAGCGUAUAUUAAAGUUGUUGCAGUUAAAAAGCUCGUAGUUGAAUUUUAGGCCCGGUUGGACGGUCUGCUCUAGGGCUUGUACUGUCCUGACUGGGUCUUACCUUCUGGUGAGCUGUCGUGUUGUUUAUUCAGUGCGGCAGGGAACCAGGACUUUUACUUUGAAAAAAUUAGAGUGUUUAAAGCAGGCAUUCGCUUGAAUACAUUAGCAUGGAAUAAUAAAAUAGGACUUUGGUUCUAUUUUGUUGGUUUCUAGGACCGAAGUAAUGAUUAAUAGGGAUAGUUGGGGGCAUUAGUAUUUAAUUGUCAGAGGUGAAAUUCUUGGAUUUAUGAAAGACUAACUUCUG